UUAGACCAUAACCCAUCUUAUUUCUGUUAUUUAUAACACUCUUCAUUUAAUUUCUAAUUAUUUGCAGUUUUUUUCAUAUAAACUUGAUAUGUUCCUCGAUAUUGUUGUUGGAUGUUACAUUUCCUUCCAUUGUAGAGACUUUAUUUUCUUAACAAAGGCAGAAAGCAAAUAACUGUUCAAAUGAUACAAUUGAUUCGCUUUUUACCAAGAAUGAUAGAAGACAAGAUUACGACAGACUGAGCGUUCACGACCAACGAAUGGGAAUAGGCAACAGAAGAAUUGUCAAAUGGAAAACGGAAAUGUGAAACAUAGUGAACCAAAUUGAAUAAUGUGCAGAUAAAAUAUCACAAUGAACGUAAUUCUUAAAAUCUUCAUUUAUAAAAUGAUCUAAUAUAAUCAUGCAUAUUUAUAAUUAAAAUUAUAUGUUUUGUUACAAAAAGUUCGCCAUUUUGCCAACUUUUUUGUUGGUUGGAAAAGUGAGAAAAAAAUCUUUAUAGACGACUUUUUUGUACUAUUGUUGUUUAAAUCCGCCAUUGCGGACUUCUUUUUCAAAUUAAUACAUUUUUCACUUAAAAUUUUAAAUAAUAAUUCAGCACAAGCCUUGACUUCAGCCCUUUGUUUUGGUUUUAUUGUUUUGUACCACCGUGCAAUUUUGUUUUGCUCGCGUGUUCGUGGUCGUGAAACUUGUCACUCAACAGGAACUCAAAACUCAAAAUAACUAACUGUAAACGCCUGUCGUAAUCUUGUCUUCUAUCAUUCUUGCUUUUUACGUUGUCAUGUGUUAAAUCGGUCAUCACUCAAAAGGCUCGAAAGGCAAUUGAAAUGGACGUAAGACAAAUCACUCAUGCUUCGAAAUAGAAGUUCGAACUUCACUGCUAAUCAACUCAUGCGAGCAUUUCGUGUUGAGUGAAUGUUGUUCGCUUGCUCAAACGAAUCAAGCAUAACAUCGGCAAUUGUACCGAAUCACACUGUGUGCAAAGAAAAGCGAAUCAACUUGUGCAGGCCUUUAGUGGAAACAUCUAAAUUUUGGGAAAAUGAUGUUAAGCGUUUUACGGAUGAAAAGUUUAAAAAUACGUUUCGUGUGAGCUGGGAGACAUAUUCUUAUUUAGUGGAUCGUCUUAAAAAUGUGCAGAAGGAAAAACGUACUGGCGAAACGUCAUAACUUAAAAAAACGAAUCUCUAUAGCUUUGUACUCACUAGCUUCUUCCGUUGAGUACAGAACAGUCGGAAGUCUAUUUGGAGUCGGACGCACAACAGUAGGAGUUAUAGUUCUAGACAUUUGCAACGAAAUAGUUAAACAAUUUUAAACUAUUUGAAAACGAAGUUUUCGAUAGUUGUCCUCCGAAUGAUGCAAAAGUGAAUGAGACAGUUGCUGGUUUUAAUCAAUUGGGAUUUUCUCACUGUUAUGGCGCAAUCGAUGGUUGCCAUGUAGAAAUCAAGCCUCCAAAAAACCAAGGCUGUGAUUAUUUUAACAUUAAAGGAUGGUACUCAACGGUUUUAUUUCCGUCCGUUGACUAUAGAUGCAGAUUUACAUAUAUUAAUGUUGGGAUACCAGUAAAGUAUUUUAAAAGCAUGCUACUGUGAUCGAAGGUGUUGAGGUGCCAAUACACCUGAUUGGGGAUUCAGCAUUCAAGUUACAAAAUUGUGUCAUGAGACCAUUUUCAUCUGAACAACCCGAAAGCGAAAAAGUUUUCAAUAAACGCAUAUCAUCGGUCAGACGAGUAGCUGAAAACGCUUUUGGACAUUUGAAGGCUCGCUUCAGGCGCAUUGGUCGAGACGAUGGAGUGGAUGGUAUCUUAUCUGUUUCAUCUUCAUUUGCCGACAUGUCAGCUGAAGCAACUAAUGAAUCCGAACCUGUGGAAUAAAAACAUACAUAUGUAUAUAAUUUGAUUAAAAAU